rnacentral:rRNA from 1 species
UACGUAGGGACCAAGCGUUGUUCGGAUUUACUGGGCGUAAAGGGCGCGUAGGCGGCUUAACAAGUCACUUGUGAAAUCUCCGGGCUUAACUCGGAACGGCCAAGUGAAACUGUCAAGCUAGAGUGCAGAAGGGGCAAUCGGAAUUCUUGGUGUAGCGGUGAAAUGCGCAGAUAUCAGGAAGAACACCCGUGGCGAAGGCGGCUCUCUGGAACGCAACUGACGCUGAGACGCGAAAGCGUGGGGAGCAAACAGG